CAUUUACCAGAAACUCCCGUCGGUUACAAUCACCUGAGUUUCUCUAUAAAUAGCAAUGCUUAUUGAAUUUGUGCAACGAUUUUAUAAGCGGUACUAAAAAGAAAUUGAUGAUAAGUCACUUUAGUUGUAAUUGACGAGUUAAAUUUAUAUUUAUUUUACUAGAGAAAAUCACUGUCGCUGCACCCUUGUUCACAUUAUCGUUUCGCUUACAAAAAUAAAUUAUCGCGUCGCGAUACAAUUGAUGCAGAGCUGAUUUUGAUAACAGGCAAUCAGCAACACCGAACUACUAAGAUUUUUGAACAUUUUCAUUCAUUCGAACUUCAGUAAAACUAAAUUUUCAAUUCAAGCAAAGGUAUUUAUUUUAAUACUUCGUGUGUUUAUGAGAAUCUGACGGAACACCUGAUGCCACGCGAUAGUUUCGUAACAAAGGAGUGAGUUUGUCGUGAAGAGCAAGAUAUUGAAAUGUGUCGGUGGAUGUCGGUAAACAGGGAGUAAGGCUCAAACGCAUCAUGUUAUUAUGACAUACGACACGACGCCACCGCUCCAUAGGAGUGUGUUCGAGCCCUUAUGUUUAAAAGUUUCACUAUCCAGUUGUCAAGAUCAUUGGAAUAAAAAAAAUAUUUGCGACAUUGUAUUACGCUUAAUGGAUCAAGCUUGUUUUUUUAACAACACACAAUUUAAUUCAGAUUGGUAUUACAUGAAUUGAUCUCGGUUAGAAUCUAGUAAAUAAAGAAGCUCAAUAAGGAAGGUACAUAUAUUUUGGCCAUUUACAUAUAGUGUAUCUUGUAUUAGCUAUACAUAUAUUUAAAUUUUAGUACAACUUGCUUUUUUGUCACACUAUGUAGAUCUUAUUAAAUCCGGGCUGUUUUCUAGAAAUACCUAGAAAUAUCUUGUUCGCAGAUUACAUACACAAAAAAGACGAUUGAUGGUAGAUAACAUCGUAAUCACAAAUAUAGCUUUUCUGAAUCACUCGAAGACUUGAUCAUCAUCAUCAUCAUCAGCCUUUAUCUGCCCACUGCUGGACAUAGGCCUUCCCCAAUGCCUAUGUCCAGACUUGAUGAUCAUGUGUAAUUCGGUAAGAGUAUAUAAAUAUAUGGAAUGAAUUAACCACUGGUACUAUUAUACUUGAAAAACUAGGAAGAUUAUUAGAGAGAAUAUUAGCGAUAUUACCAGAUCUUAUAUGAAGAUCCGCGAUCGAUCAAUCCACAAAGUAGGUACUGCUGGAACAAAACGAAAAUAUUGAGUAUCCGUGUAAGAAUAUCUUUAACUCUAUUGUAUUUGUUUUAACUAAAAAGGAAGUAAACCACAAUACAAAGAACUUUUGCCCAUAGAUGGAUUUUUUAAAGGUCUAGUCUAUUCCGUCACAGUUUUGGAAAUACGUUACGCUUGUCAAACCUCUGAAAUACUUAACUCAAUAAUAAAUAGCUGCAAAUGCAAAAUAGAACGUAAUUACGUUAAUGCCAAAACGAGUGUUAGAGCCAAUAUGUAAAUUAUUAAAAAUACUAAAAAGUUGUCAAACAGGUUCUUACACUCUAGUGGAAAUGGUUCGGUCGUCGCAUCCAAAGAAUAACUGGUUGAAGACGGUAAGCGAUUAUCAAUUAGUGUUGUGCAAAUAAAGAGAUCAAGGUAAAUUUAACAUUAGUCCUCGAUUUCUAAUUCAGUUAUUGUCAAGCGUUUUGUAAGUUGACAUCAUUGAUUUUUUCCAAACGUUGCAUUACAGGAUUAGACUCACGUAGACUAGCUCUUGCUCAAUAAUUACGGCAACAAAUAUAGGGUUGGCUAAUUCAUGAUGAUAGAAUGAAGAUUAACUGGAAGAGAUUUCAGCAUGAAAUAAGUAGUGCCCUUGUACUCUGUAUCCUUAUUGACGUGUAUUUUCUAACAGCUGUGUGUACAAAAUAUAUUAAAUAAAUAAAUAAAAAAAAAUUAAUAUUUCCGAA